rnacentral:lncRNA from 1 species
AUUAGAUAGAUAGAUAGAUGGAUAGAUAGUUCCGUCCAGACGCCUUGUCACCCAAAUUUCUUGCAAGACUUGCAGCAACAGACUUGUUUUAGCGUAAACACCUGGUGAUGCAAACAAUGAUAUAAAAGAAAUGAUAGUACCAUACAAUCGUUAUGCACCCAGAAUAAUAAUGGUUCAGUAAAAACAUCAAGAUACGUCACAUCUCUUCGCACAUAUCAGUGGUUGUACAUGUCAUACCAAUCUAUGGCAUACGGUGCAUGUUUAAAAGGUAUAACAAAACACAAUAGAAGAAAGUAGUGGCUUAGCCCUAGAGAAUGUAAAAGGCAGUAGACAUAUAUAAUAAAGGGGCAUUAAUAUGCAUUUAUAGUAGUUUGUGACACAUGAUAACGGGCAGUAGAUCGCACACAUAGCUUGCUUGCACAUUUCACACCAACUGAGCACAAAUCAAGGCAUGAUAUGCACAAAAAUAACAGAGAAGCCAGUGUGGGAGAAGGGAUGGCUCACCAAUGCACCCCCAGAUCCAAGCUCCAACACUUCGAUGCCCUUUUGGAUUUUCAUGGAAAACCAUAUAGACACAUAUAAAUAAAAAAUCUACAAAAAGAAGAUGUUAUAUAUUGUAGUACUAAUUCCAAUCGAGGCAUGAUUAUAUUAUUGGAGGAUGUUGAACUCAACGGAUUAUAUUCUUAUUGAUUCCUUCUGAUUGUUUAUUUGCUGAAAGCCCACCGGUCAUGAAAUCAACUACGGAUGAUUGUUAAUUACAAUGCUCUAGGAGAACUGAUCAGGGUGUGUGAGCACAAAAAAACUCAGCAACCUUCGUGAUGACAACUGUGAAUAAACAUAAAAGGUAUAUUUUGCCUUUAUUAAUUAUUAAUUUUGACUUCAUAUUCACAAAGAGUAAUACCAAGUUCCAUUAAAAGGUUGAUAAAAGGCCGAGUGCUAGCCUUGCCUUUUUGGUUUUAAAGGGAGGGGGUCUCAUCAGCAAUGACACACCCCUUAGUUCACUACAGGGAGGGAAAACAGUCAGACCCACUUAUUCGGUAUCGAUGGAUCAAACAGGAAGCACAGGAGGCAAGUAGAAGCAUAUACCUUGAAGUACCAUCCCCCUCAUCACCUAGGGUAGCAGGACCAUCGACCAGCGCUGCAUAUUCAUAGAAGCCCAAAGCACAUACAACCAAAUUAGAUAAACAUGUUACUGAUAUUGAUCUUAUUCUUACAAAAGACAGCAGAUAAACAUGUCAGAAGAAAAUAUACACUUGAGAUUGUAUUUAGUAGAGUACAAAUUCAAAAAUACUUACAGUUGCAUUGAUGCAGCUGAAGCUGAUUAUCGUGCCCUGAGCUUCCCGCAGCUUGACAUGUGCCACCCGCUUUUCAACCAUCCUGUGGAUGCAUGGCUGUACAGCAGAACCUUGAAAACAACCAAGUUCAAAAUUGAACCAAAGAAUGAGCGAAAGAUAAGAAUGCCUAUCAGGCUAUGCUGUAAUUGUUGGAUUAAUAUAUUGGAAAUUAAGAAGCGUGAUAGUCAGAACAGACUAUAUCACAAGAUUAUAGCAGGGAUAUGCAACUACAGAUCAAGUAAAGAUGAUGUUGAAAUAGCUGAUGUGUUCACAACUCAAUUAAGAAGUAUAAUAACCUAAGAGACGCCGGUCUUUUUCCCUCCAUAUCUUAGCAUGGACAUUUCACAAUCCAUCUCCUUUAAUUCUUCUUAUAACAAUUAUUCAACACCCGGUCCACUAUUCGGCUAAUAUUAGCUAGCUCGCUACCUUGCUAUGGACAAUGUCCACACUAACAAUUUCAAUAGUUAUUCUUGUUCCCAGACUGAUCCAUAGACCAUAGUAUAUUCCUUCGCCUAAGCCUCUCGCAACGCAAGCUACUGCUCUCCUAUAUAAACCAAAAUAGCAUUAUAGUGUAGUUAACUCUUGGUUUUAUACAGGAUUCUAGUACUGUUGAAUAAAAACAAACCAAGUGCUUGUGGGUCAUGUAAACAGAGAAGCAAAUGAGAAAUCGGGAUGUGGUUCAAAAUAUUUCAGUGGUACCAUCUAUAGUUUAAAAAGUCAUUUUGGGACUAACAUACAUGUAGGUAAUGCACGAAUAUCAUGCAUGUUGCGCUAACAACAUUCUGAAAUCAAAUGCGCACACCAUCUAUCACAUGUCCUGAUUCCUAAAGCUGAAUUAAACUCAACCGAUAUAUGCAGAACAAUUAAUAUUUUUGUGGCAGUACGUAGAAAGAUAAACCCAUAAAGAGAUAAUAGAUAUGACUAAUGGGGUCAUUUUAAUUUACUAUAAUUGUCAUUUACCCCCAAAAACAGUUGAAAUUAUCAUGUAUGCCAUUGGGUGUCGUGUUAUUUAAACUAAAAUUCAGACAAAUAAAUAUAAAACUAACUUAGGAGAGAAGUACUUUGUCCUCCCUUUCUUUCUGCGCCUGUCGACCACUCAAAUGAUGGCACAAAGCAAAACCCAACAAAUUGGAAGGAAAGGAGAGGGGUCCCUCACCUAGCGAAGCGAUAGAGGGGGGGGGAGGCAACAGGCAAGAACAACAACGAUGAAAACUUGUAUAUGUGCGCCUAAUUGGGAGACAUAUAUUAGAUGACAUAAAAGUAUAUUGUGGCUAAUUCAAGAAAUCUAUAUAUCCUAGAAAAAUAAGUGAUUUCCAAUUGAUCAAAGGCAUCCUCUUUAUCAUCUGGACACACAAGAAGAAAAUUUCAGACCAAAUGUAGCAGAUCAGAUUGUCUUUUCAGCUUGUGAAAAAGAGUUAGCUUUUUUAGGGAUAAUAAGUCAAAAAGGUUAUGUUGUGGUCACAGGGAACAUAACGUCCUAACGGUGGAUACUCGAGUGGUAUAAGCAGGUAGUAUUUUUAUCUCAUUUAGUCGCAUUAAAAUGAACCUAGACUAUAUACUGCAGCUAAUAUAUUUCAUAUUGGCGUAAAGGGAGAAGCCCGGUGAAAUCAGCUAAGAAUUCAUCUAGGAACGAUCCGUUCUGUUAUUUUCAAAGGCACAUAUCAAAUGAUCCCAAGUAAGAAUAUCAAAGUUGUGGAAUCUCAAAAGAUCCAUCUAGGAACGCAAGUAUGGUAACUAAAUAGUGAUUAAAUUAAUGUUUGAGCUUGGAUAAGGUUACCUGGGUGGCCUCUUCUCCAAACGGUCCUCAACUUUGGGACAUAGAUGGCUUGCUUAAUGCAAUCCGGGCAGCAUGAGCCUCUUCAAAUGGAAUGAUCCCUGUCAUUGCCCGCAACAUUAGACCAUUAGACCAUGCAAGUACAAAGGUUUCUAUAAAAUUCAAGAUUUCCACAAUAUAUGUUGAAUAUACAAAUUAAUCCAAAAAUCAAAUAAGCAAAAGAAAAUCACUAUAUUGAAUAUACAGAGUACUCCACAUGGUCCAUAUGUAGAAGCCAGCGACCAGAGUUGCAUUUGUGAACAAGUUCAAAGGAUAAACCAUCAUUUGAUUAGGAGCAAUAGCUACCUGAGUAGUCUGCAAGAGUUUGCAUUAUUUUGAGAUGAAUUGGCCAUAACUGAGCUUCCCCGCGAACACUUGA